UACGUAGGGUGCAAGCGUUGUCCGGAAUCAUUGGGCGUAAAGAGCGCGUAGGCGGUCCGGUAAGUCAGCUGUGAAAGUCAGGGGCUCAACCCUUGAAAGCCGGUUGAUACUGUCGGGCUAGAGUCCGGAAGAGGCGAGUGGAAUUCCCGGUGUAGCGGUGAAAUGCGCAGAUAUCGGGAGGAACACCAAUGGCGAAGGCAGCUCGCUGGGACGGUACUGACGCUGAGGCGCGAAAGCGUGGGGAGCAAACAGG
rnacentral:rRNA from 1 species